rnacentral:lncRNA from 1 species
ACAUGAACUGGUUGUAAUCGUGAACCAAUACUCCAAAGUAGCAAAAGUCUAUAAAGGCAAUGCGUUUAGACCAGAAUGGGCUGGGAUCUAGCUUGGACCUUGCAAUGAGGACUCUAAUAAAUGCAGCAACAUGCUGUACAAAGAAGAUUAAGUCAACUAAAAAUAAUAUAUACUCAGCCACAAAUAAUAUAUAAUUCAUCUGUAAAUUACUUAACUCAGCCACAAAGAAUAUGUAAAUCAGCUGUAAACUACAUAACUCAGCCCUAAAGUAGACUUACAUUUUGAAACAACC